rnacentral:pre_miRNA from 1 species
CAAGUACUCUCUCCGUCCGGAAUUACUUGUCACGGAAAUGGAUGGAAAUAGAUGUAUCUAUAACUAAAAUACGUCUAGAUACAUCCAUUUCUAUGACAAGUAUUUCCGGACGGAGGGAAUACAAU